AUAAAUAAUAAAUUCCUUACCAAAACCUUAGAGUUUUUCUACAUAUUUCUUUCUGUUAUUUCUUUGCCUUCUCUCUUUAGCUCACUCUCUCUCUAUUAAACUCUUUGGUGGAUGAAAGAAUGAAGUUGAAGUGGCGAGGAAGUAGUGAAGAGGGGUCCCUAUUUAUAGAAAAUAGGGACCAUUAAAUUUACACAAACUGGCGAAAUCUUGUGAAGAGAGAGGAAACUAAAAGUGACUUGAUGUGAUGCGAUGACUAAAACAAUACUAACGGAUAGACGACGUGACAACGGCAACGUCACAGCAGUGCAAAAGUCUGAGACAAGCCACCCGAACGACGGUGGUACGGUGCCCAAACAACAGUGGCAUGCCCCCAAGGGGGUUGCACGCGCAUGCACAAGUCCUAGUUUGGCCGCAUGCAUAUAUACGAGUACGGGGCAUGGGGCCCGCGCAGCGGGGGUUUUUCCCGCAUGCGAUUUCCAUGGGAUUUUCCCACUGUUUUCUCAUCUGUUUUUCCCUGAAACCUUUUUAAGUAAAUUUUAAAAAUAAAUUUUAACAAAUCAGUAUUCAAAAUAAAUUUUAAUAAUUAUUUAAGCUAAAUAACAAAUUAAUACAUAACUCAUAAAAUUAAGUUUCAUCCAAAAAUUAAAACAUGAAAUUUUAAAGAGUUCAAAUGGCCUUAGGGCCUGAAUAAUUAGUGGUUUACAAUAUAAUUAAGCGCAAAGGUUUUUGGGGUGUUACAGAUAUUUUAGGGAGCGAAAUAGAAUGUUUUUAGGAAGGAUAAGGAG
rnacentral:lncRNA from 1 species